UGGCUCAGACUUCUCUUCAUCAAUCGUGCUAAUCUUUCACCUAUUACUAAAGACUACCAUGGAGAGGGGCAGCCUAAUGAGCCUAAACUAAUAUUUGUAAUCCCACUAGAUU